rnacentral:rRNA from 1 species
GAUGAACGCUGGCGGCGUGCCUAAUACAUGCAAGUCGAGCGGCCGGACGAGAAGCUUGCUUCUCUGAUGUUAGCGGCGGACGGGUGAGUAACACGUGGAUAACCUACCUAUAAGACUGGGAUAACUUCGGGAAACCGGAGCUAAUACCGGAUGAUAUUUUGAACCGCAUGGUUCAAAAGUGAAAGACGGUCUUGCUGUCACUUAUAGAUGGAUCCGCGCUGCAUUAGCUAGUUGGUAAGGUAACGGCUUACCAAGGCAACGAUGCAUAGCCGACCUGAGAGGGUGAUCGGCCACACUGGAACUGAGACACGGUCCAGACUCCUACGGGAGGCAGCAGUAGGGAAUCUUCCGCAAUGGGCGAAAGCCUGACGGAGCAACGCCGCGUGAGUGAUGAAGGUCUUCGGAUCGUAAAACUCUGUUAUUAGGGAAGAACAUAUGUGUAAGUAACUGUGCACAUCUUGACGGUACCUAAUCAGAAAGCCACGGCUAACUACGUG